UAAAGGUUUGAUCAAAAGAUGGAGCCCUGAGCUCACACAUAAAGGCAAGAGCCAAAAAAGUCUGUCUUGGACCAACGCAACCUGAGUGUGAACUGGAAGAACUGAAUCGCGUCUUUACAGUUUUUUGGCUCGUCAUCUCUCUUCUUAUCCUACUCUCUGGCCAAAACAAAAAAGCCAAAUUUAAAAUGGCUUAAAGUUUUAAGUCUUCAAAUACAAAAUAGAUAACCAAGUCUAAAAAGCGAUUUACUCAAACUAAGAUUUUGAGUGAUUUUAGGAGAUGUUGACCUCUUGUUUAAUCGAAAGAUAUCUUUUAAGAGUAUAGUCGGUCAAAUUUACAUGUAAACUAACAAGAGAAAGCUGAAAUUUUGGUAACAAUGAUCAAGUAAACAACAGGUUUAUAUCAAAUAACGUUGGAUUUGUAUGAAUAAUAAAAUGGAGAAGAAAAGGAGAAACAACAUGCUGAGAUAUCAUACAAGAUUAUAAAGUUGAGACAAGGUCGAUCAACGUUUUGGUGUUCAUGUUGCCUGGUUUUUUCAUAUUCAUGAUUCAUCAUAAGGGAAUGCAAUUUGGAGAGAUAAAAGAAAUGUGAAAGAAAAGAAAGUACAUCAAUGAAAUUGAUUAUCAUCAUCAUCACCCUGACCAUCAACAUCAUAAACACUGGUUCACUAUAAAUGGCCAUUUUGAAUGGAGCGUGUUCAUUGAUUCCCAAAUAACUCCAGAAUUCCAUCCAUUGGACAAUUGAGCUUUUCAUUUGUAUCAAAAAUGAUCAAGUUUAUCUUGAACAUAGAUUUUCGCUAUUUAUGGCAUAAAGAAACAGUCUUCACCAUUCACAUGAACCUGUAAAUAAUUUUAGCCGAACUACAAUCACAAUCUCAAUCACAAAUCAAGAUAAAUUCAAAUUUAAUGGUGAACCUGAUAACAAUAACAUCAUCAUCAUCAUAAACAAGAGAAACAUACAACAAGAAAGUAAAAUCUUUUCAUCUACCGAAGGGAACAUUAUGGAUUUUGAAUAUAAAAAUGAUCUGAUUAUUAAACAUAAUCUGUGGUUUGAAAUGAGCUUGGGCGUACAGAAACACGCUUAUUGGGUUGGGCAUUUGAUUGCCACAGUUCGUAAUUCAAUGUGUCCACCAUCACCAUUGAGAUGAAGUCAACAAGCGAAGCAGAAACACACAUAAAGGAAAUCAAGCUAAAAGAGUGAGGUGGGUUAAACACGACAAACCGAUCCUUCGGUCUGAUUACCUGAUUCCGUAUUAUCAUGGCUGCAUAGCUGGUGAAUAAACCGUGACCACAGGGCGAGUCACGAUGUUGAUAAGUCAACUAAAGGAAAUAAGCUCGUGCAGAGGAAAGUGAAAAAAGGUCAAUUAUGACAACCUUUUAUUUUUAGCCUUAAUGUGAAGCCAGUCAAGACCAUGGAUCCAGGCUGAACAACAGUCAAUUACUGGGCCAAAAUUCAUAAUUUGUUUCAUUACAAAUUGAUGUCAACCAUGAAUGACUUACCAAAAGUCUGACAUAAACUGCAAUUUAAUGGCAAACAAACAGCAUGACUUUACGGUGGACUAAUUAAAAAAUAUUACAACCAAAUUCAUCAUAUGUGAAUAGUUAUGUGGUGAGGCAGAAACACUAUAAAGAUGUCACCUUACAAGCAAUGGAAACAACUAAUUGGUUCAUUUUUCAUGAUAAAUUGCACUUUUUUACCUUCUUCUUCUUCCAAAUCUUCACCUUGAACACUCUCUCCAACCAAUUUGAUGUAUAAAAAAUAUGUAAUCUUCACAGUUAAUUUAAUCAUCAUUUAAAUCAUUUUACAUCAAGUCAAUUGUAAAGGUUUCCCAGGUUACUUGUAACAAAUAAUGGUAACAUGAAAAGGUAAAUUACUGGAAAUAACGAUUAACUAAAAUUAUAUUAAUUCAGAUCUCUGUUUACCUGUUAUUCAUUCAUUAUUAACAUGAUCUUACGUGAUU